UACGUAGGGUGCGAGCGUUAAUCGGAACUACUGGGCGUAAAGCGUGCGCAGGCGGUUCGCCAAGUCAGGUGUGAAAUCCCCGGGCUUAACCUGGGAAUUGCGCUUGAAACUAGCGGGCUUGAGUGUGGCAGAGGGGGGUGGAAUUCCACGUGUAGCAGUGAAAUGCGUAGAGAUGUGGAGGAACACCGAUGGCGAAGGCGGCUCUCUGGACCGAGACUGACGCUGAGGCGCGAAAGCCAGGGGAGCAAACGGG
rnacentral:rRNA from 1 species